UACGUAGGUGGCGAGCGUUGUCCGGAUUUAUUGGGCGUAAAGCGCGCGCAGGCGGUCGCGUAAGUCUGCUGUGAAAUCUCCCUGGCUCAACCGGGAGGGGGCGGCGGAGACUGCGGGACUGGAGGGACCUAGAGGCCGGUGGAAUUCCCGGUGUAGUGGUGAAAUGCGCAGAUAUCAGGAGGAACACCGGUGGCGAAGGCGGGUCUCUGGGCCGUAACUGACGCUGAGGAGCGAAAGCGUGGGGAGCGAACAGG
rnacentral:rRNA from 1 species